CACCAGCCCCUCGAGUGGUGGGGAUGAUUAUUGGCCUAAAGCGUCCGUAGCCGGCCGGGUAAGUUUCCCGUUAAAUCCAGCGUCUCAAGCGUUGGACUGCGGGAAAUACUGCCUGGCUAGAGAGUGGGAGAGGUCAGCGGUAUUCUGGGGGUAGGGGCGAAAUCCUUUGAUCCCCGGAGGACCACCAGUGGCGAAGGCUGCUGACUAGAACACGUCUGACGGUCAGGGACGAAAGCUGGGGUAGCGAACCGGAUUAGAUACCCGGGUAGUCCCAGCCGUAAACGAUGCAUGCUAGGUGUUGGGUUGGCCACGAGCCACCCCAGUGCCGCAGGGAAGCCGUUAAGCAUGCCGCCUGGGAAGUACGAUCGCAAGAUUGAAACUUAAAGGAAUUGGCGGGGGAGCACCACCAGGCGUGAAGCCUGCGGUUU
rnacentral:rRNA from 1 species